GGGUGUGUAGUCUGCCGUCGGUGAGCAAUCGCUGAGGAACGUCUACCCACCACCAAAAGGCCGCUCCAGCAGUGGAGGCCCAGCAAUGGGCGACAACGUCACAGAAACGACACGGCCUCAAUGCGCCACCAGAAUGAGGUUGCGAAACCCGACGCGAGUCGGAUGAGUUAACCAACCGACGAGCAUUGAGGAUACGAUGAAACGGACAGGCUCGGCCGGUGCAAGGCGAAAUGCCGCAUAGUGGAAUGCAGAUACAGUCCAUCCCGCCCGUUAAAACCGGGCAACACCGCCACGAAUCGGUGUCCGGGGACUGACAAAAGGUAGCGUACGCGCACCC
rnacentral:RNase_P_RNA from 1 species